CUCCUCUGCGUUACAGGGGAAUAAUAAUCCUUGCCCCGCUGGCCUGCCGGGUGGUGGCGGGAUACUACAUCCUGGUUGGGGAAGGAUCGGGCUUGGCAGAGACAAAACUAUCCCGCUGUGUGGCUAUUCACAACCCACCCAGAUUUAGGGGUUGGGUGGGGGGUAUUCAGGCCUCGGCCGACGCCCCAUCUCCCCACCCCGCAUAAAGGCGUUCGUGGGCAGUUAGGUUCUGCCGGACGCCGGGGACGGUGCGCGGGUGAGUGCCUCCGGGCACCGAGCGCGGGGCACGUGGCGCCCUCUGGGGACUGUCCGCGGCACUGCCGGGCGUCCAGCCUGGGAAGGCGCAGCUUCGCCGGGCACCUAUCGCACCCUCAGGCUCCGCGCGGCGCUCGGUACCUGGCUCAGCGCUGACCCCUCCACCUGGCUGAAGGCGGCAGCCCUGGGAGACUCCGGCACUCAGCCGGAGCAGGAGCGGCGCACCGUGGGAACCCAUACUGAAAGGGAAGCCUUGUCGGUUGCUCACUGCUGCAGACUCGAGGAAGGCCAUCUCCAAUCGCCCAGAAGCCACCUAAAGAAGGUACUGGCCUCCAUGUGCCGAACCUCUAAGUCUCCCAACUGUUCACAAAAAUACGAAGCCAUCUGGAAAAGGGAGCAUCCACAUGGAUGGAGGGAAACAAUUAAAAAUAAAGAACAAUAUAUUUGAGGCCAAAGAUCAUAUCUCGUAAUGAGAAGCAGCAUAAGAUGGAAGCAGCUGAAUGAAUAAAACUGAGAUGAAAUAAUUUGUCCAAAGUUACACAUUUGGUAAGCGGUGGAGCCUGGAUAAGAAUCCAGCCCUCUCCCCACCACCCGCCAAUCCCCACUCUGCCACUGGAAUUCUGCCUAAAAUGAAACAGCAACAGAACAGAGGUCAAGAACUUGGAAGGAUUCAUAUGGGAGAAACCAGGAACAUUAUGCUGUUGAGCAAUACUUCAGUUCCACAAGCUUGAUUGAAAACCCACUGGAAUCAGGCAGUCAUUGUACUGGGCAACAGGGAUACAGAAAUGAGUAAGACACAGUUCCUAACAUCAAGAAGGUAGACAGAAAUGUGAACAAAUAAAUAAUAAUUCAGCAUCACAGAUUCAAAAUAAAGAGAUAACACAGUUGGAAGAGAUCAGGAUCUCCACAUGGGACAGGAGGAGGGCAUCAAGGAAGCCCUCCUGGAAGAGGUUAACAAUAAGCUGAACAAUAUUUGCCAAAUAAGCUGAACAAUAUUUGCCAAGAUGAAACAGGCUUGGAUAGAUCCACAGACUGAAGAAGGUAAUUCCAGGGAGGGAACAGCAUUAGUGAAGUCACCAAGCAAUGUGGCGCCUAUAGGGAUCUCUAAGCUCAGUAUUUCUGUGUAACAAAAUACAAGAUAAUCAGAUCCUUUUGGAAAAAUAAUAACAAUAAUAAUUAUAACAGCCUAUACACAGAGUGCCUACCAUGUACCAGGCAGGGUUCUAAGUCUUUAUAUAUUAGCACAUUUAUUUUUUCCUACAACACUGUGACAUAUGCAUGAUUACAAUUCCUAUUUUAUAGAUGAAGAAACUGAGACACAGAGAGAUCAUCAUGUAAGAUGGUCAGUAUCACACAGGCUCUCAGAAAGUAGGAUACAAUUUUUGUUUCUAUUAAAACAAGAUAACAACUAUUGAAAAAGUCUGGUCUAGUUUAAUCCAGGCUUGAUAUACUCAGAGGAAAGCAAGAAAGAAUAAAUUGUGAUUAAAGGAAGAGAACGGUUUUUAAGUCUUUGAAAAUAGUAGUUUUGUUGUUAUUGUCUUCUUAGCACAUAAGAACUUCUAAUGCACAUUAAUAGAAAGCAAAUAUUUCUUAUACAGUGAGCCAAAAAGAGUAUGAAAAGUGGAGAUAAGUAUGUUUUUUAAUAUUUUACACAAAGUUAUAUUAAAACUUUAUAAAGGUCCACUGGAUAUUUAUUUUCCUUCCUCCAGUAACAGUCUCAAAUAAAUAUAAUUACUUUUAGACAAUAAAGUGCUUCAAUAUCAUAUACUGAAAACCAAUAAAAAAUACCAGUCACUUGGAAGUGUUCCUGUUUGGAGGCUGACCUGGCCCUUCCACAGCAGAGUCAGAAGGUGAAAGGUUGAAAGUGUGUCCUUGAUUUUAGACUGAACAUAAAGUGUAGACUCAGGUUUUUUUUAAACCAAAGGUAAUUUUCUUCCCUUCUUUUUUUUUGGUUGUUAGUUAGCCACUGAUGUGUACAGUCUUAAGGAUCCAAGUCAAUUAGGACACUGUGUAUAACUUUUUCAACCUGAAGGCAGCAUGCCAUUCACAUUUAUAGGUAUUGUUCUCUGGAUAAAAUCUCUUUGCAAGGAACAAUAAAAGGCUGAAUAAUGGAGACCAUGAGCCUAUGAUUGAUGUAAUAAAAGAAGUUCUCAAUAUUUUGGCACUUCCCUUCUGAUGUAAAGUGUGUGCUAUUCUCAUUUAGUGGGCAAUUGCCAAGUAGAAUGAGAGAAACGUGUGUUAAUCCACCACUGUUCUACAGUGACGGCAGAAAGCAUUUGCUGUGUUUCCCAUUUGGAGCCUGUAGCCCCUUUGAUUCACACCUAUGUUUUCCAGAUUAUAUCUCUGCCAUAUUAUGUAUCUGGCACUGCCAUAUUCAAUUCAUACAUUACAGCCUGCCACAUAAUGUAGCUAUUCUUAUCCCUAGAGAGACAAAUGACAGGAUUUGUUAAUUGCAUUUUUAAAGUUAUACAAUGUCUGCCAAUCCAUUAGGAUCUUUCCUUAUGAGUUUUGCUUCUCUACUUUUAAUACUACCAACAUUUCCAUCUAAAAGAUAAAUAAGCUUCUCUUGAUAGCACCAAAUUCCCUACUUAUAUCCAAUGGUCUUUUCUACAUAAACAUUUCUAAGGGGAUAACAUAUUACUGAUCAAAAUGCUUCCAUAUUUGUUUAUAACUGCAGUUGGCAAACCAGGCCUGUGGGCUAAAUCUAGCCUGCCACCUGUUUUUGUAAAUAAAGUAUUACUGGAACACAGCCAUGUUCAUUCGUUGACGUAUUGUCUAAAUCUGCUUUUUAUGCUUCAAUGACAGACUUGAGUAAUUGCAGUCAAGGCCAUCAUGGCUCACAAGGCCUAAAAUAUUUACUCUCUGUCCCUUUUUAGAAAAAGUCUGCGAACCUUUGGUUUAAAAAAUCCUGUAUUCUCUUGUAACUUUGUCAGUAACAUAUGUUACAUUAUUGCUUUUUCUGCCUAGGGUGGAUUCUAAAUUAAUAAAAUUAUUAAGAACAGCCCAAGAAGCAAGUUUGGAUUUAAAAAGCCCAAAUAUAAUCAAAUCAGUUUUUGUUGCCAGGCCUUAAAGAUACAAUGAUGGACAAAAAUAGACAUAGUAUCUGCCUUAAAAAUUUUUACGGUUUAGAGACAGUAACUGACAAAAUAACUACAGUACACAGUGACCAAUCUAAAAUAGGGGAAGUAUAAUUUUCUGUUGCAGCAAAGAGCAGGGGAACCUUAGCACUUCAAAGAAGACUUUUCAGGGAAGUGACUUUUAAGUUUGGAGGCAAAUAAAGAAUCGGAACAGGUGUUGCAUGUGUGUAUCAAGGUGGGUAGAGGAUGGCAGGAUGUAGUCAUUAAAGCAAGCAAAGUGAAGAGCUUGGGUGAUGUCCCAAGAUACGAGAGGAUAGGAUACCAGGAAGCGCCACACAUCAUCAUGACUGGACCAUAGAGAAGAAUGAAAAACAGAGCAAGAGGUGAGUGGGAGCCACCUGGUUAUGAAGCACCUCCUACAUGUGAGGCAAUGGAAAGCCCUCAAAGAGUUUUGAUGAGAAAUCAGGAAUGUCCAGAUUUUCCAUUUCAGAAAAUAUUAUUCUGAAUAUAAGUAAGGAAAGGAUUACUGAAAACUUUUAGAAAGGGGAGCAGUUAGAAGACAGUGGCUAAAAUUCAGGUGACAAGUAUCAGUGGCUUGAAUUUGAUUAUUGGAGGUGAUGAGAGAGCUGUGGAGUUGGAGAACUAUUUCAAGAACUGACAAGUUUUAAUAAGUAUGUGAAUGUUGGAGGAAAAAGAGAAUUUUUAAAUGGUUCUGCAGUUUCUCUCUUGGACAACUUUGUGAAUGGCAAUGCUUUACUAAAAGCCCAACUGGAGUAGGAAUGUAGAAGAGGAUGAUGGCAUGUGUUUGAAGACACUGGGCUUAAGGUGUCUGUGUGAUGUUCAGAGAGAGCACAACUAUGAGUAGUUGGACAUUUGGCUCUGAAGCUCAGGCGGGGCCUGGGCUGCAGAUAAGGCACAGAGGUCAUUUGCAUUAGGGAGGUAAUUGGAACAUAAGGUGUGAGUCAGCUUAUCUAAGCAGAGCAAGCAGAAUUAGAAGAGAAGGGGACACUCCAAGCAAUCUCAAUGCUUUGAGGAGUUUUUAGUGAAAGAGAAGUCAUAGAUGGACUGAGAAGGAGUAUCCAAAGAGGCAAGAGGAAAAUAGUAUAGAAAAGGGCUCCAGAUGCAAAAGGAAGAACAUGGAUAUGUUUCAAGAAACCGAAUGGCUCAACAGCAGGGGGUGACGAACAAUAAAGCUGCAAAGUAAGCUUUGGAUCAGGCAAUGAUGAUCUUAAUGUCUUUGACAGAAUCACCUGCAGUUGGUAAGUCAGUAAUCAUUUCAUUAUACAGAUGCUCCUCGACUUGAGAUGAUGUUACAUCCCAAUAAACCCAUCAUAAGUUGAAAAUAUUGUAAGUUGAAAAAGCAUUUAAUACACCUAACCUACUGAACAUAAUACCUUAGCCGAGCAUGCUUUAAACAUACUCAGAACACUUACAUUAAUCUACAAUUGGGCAAAAUCAUCUAACACAAAACACAUUUUAUAAUAAAUUGUUGAAUAUCUCAUUUAAUUUAUUGAAUACUGUACUGAAAGUUUAAAAAAUGGUUGUAUGGGCACUCAAAGUAUGAUUUCUGCUAAAUGUAUGUAACUUUUGCAUAAUGAAGUUGAAAAAAUCAUAAGCUGAACCAUCAUAAAUCAGGGACCAUCUGUAACAAUAUAAAUAAUAACUUUAAGUUGAUAUAGAGAUUCACAAAUUUACAAAGAACAUUUUCAAAUAAUUUCUUAUUUCAUGUUCACAAUAAUCUCAUUAAUUAGAUGUGUCUGCUUCCAUUAUAGAGCUGAGGAGAGAGAGAUUUAAAAAGGUCAAGUAAUGCUUAAGUUGAAAUUUUUGAUAAAACGACAAUUAGAGGAAGUGCCUUUCGGACAUUUUCAUCAUAUAACAAAAUAGUAAGAUAUGAACGUUUUAGAACAUCUUCUAUGUGUAAGAUGUCACGCUAAGCAUUCACUUUGCACAAGAAGAUUGUAAUGUAGGUUUUAUUAACUCAAGUUAAGAAAGGUCCAGAGAAAAGUGGUUAACUUUUCCAGACUCACACAGCUAGAAAGUGGCAGAAUGAGACUUUGAAUUCAGAUCUGAUAGAUACUGAAGUUUGUGCUUUUCACUAUCAAAGCCUGCUUCACUGGCUGUUCAAGUUUUCUGGCAAAUAUCGCUUAAAAAAAUCUUAACAAGCUGUAUGUAUCCUUGAAAACAUUCACAUAAAUCCAAUAUUGAAAACGGAAUUAUCUUACUUUUUCUUUUAUAAUUUUAUUUAAUAGGUGUGUCUUCCAUGGGAAUUAAAUACAUUUAAAAUAUAGUAUUUAGUUACACUGAAGUUGUAUAUUGAAGGUAAAAUUAUUUGCUAAUAAAACAUUAACCACAGAAUUCCAUAAUGCAAAUGCUAUGCUGGAGACAGUGGCUGAGUCUAAAAAAAUAGCAGUAUGAAGAAAGAAAGAGAAGAAUGCUGCCUUUCUGAACAAACUUCCAAGGAAAAAUGUGCUUCCAAGAUGGUGACUCAGACAAAUCCAAAUCUCUUUCUUCUGCUUGACAAAUAUUUUCUGGACACCUUAGUUCUAGUAGUGAAGCUGCAUGUGGCUAGCAUCCAUUUCCACCACAGUAAUGGUAAAAACAAACUAUGUUGUAGAUGAAGUAUAAAACAUAUUUUUUCUUCUAAUAAACUGAAGAACUGGAGUAACUGUGAGAAAUUAAAACUAAAUUAGGACCUAGGUUGGUGGGUGUAUGGGAUUCAUUGCUGAGCUCUUUAACUUUCCUGUGUGGUCAAAAUGUUUUCUAAAAUAUUUUAAUU